GGCGGCGUGCCUAAUACAUGCAAGUCGAGCGAACUGAUUAGAAGCUUGCUUCUAUGACGUUAGCGGCGGACGGGUGAGUAACACGUGGGCAACCUGCCUGUAAGACUGGGAUAACUUCGGGAAACCGAAGCUAAUACCGGAUAGGAUCUUCUCCUUCAUGGGAGAUGAUUGAAAGAUGGUUUCGGCUAUCACUUACAGAUGGGCCCGCGGUGCAUUAGCUAGUUGGUGAGGUAACGGCUCACCAAGGCAACGAUGCAUAGCCGACCUGAGAGGGUGAUCGGCCACACUGGGACUGAGACACGGCCCAGACUCCUACGGGAGGCAGCAGUAGGGAAUCUUCCGCAAUGGACGAAAGUCUGACGGAGCAACGCCGCGUGAGUGAUGAAGGCUUUCGGGUCGUAAAACUCUGUUGUUAGGGAAGAACAAGUACRAGAGUAACUGCUYGUACCUUGACGGUACCUAACCAGAAAGCCACGGCUAACUAC
rnacentral:rRNA from 1 species